rnacentral:sRNA from 1 species
GUCGAACAGGACACCGCCGCGACGUCGUCGAUCAAGGUUCGAUCGGUGUGGUGGCCGACCGAGGCGAUCACCGGCACCGGCAGCAG